CAGCCUGUUUUAGACCUUUUGAACGCAUCUUGGAAUGGAUAUACAAAAACAAAAUUACCACAAUAUAUUGCUGGAUGGCGAGCAUUUCACUAUCAAAGGAGACUUAAGAGGCAAAGGAAACUUUAUAAAGUCCAGUGACAAUGGGUCCUGGAUAAUAACCGGCCUAUAUGAAAAUGGAUUUCAAAUAUUCUGUUUGGAUAUCUAAACCGUUUCAAUUUAUUAUCAUUAUUAUUUCAAUAUACUUUAUUAUUGAUUAAAAUCUGUAAUGUAUGAUUAAAUAAUUAACUAUUUACAAUAACGUUUCUUAAAUAUAAUAAUAAUAAUAUAUACUUUGCACUUAUACACACGAUUUUUUGUAUUUUACCAAACAUAAAAACGAUGUCUAAUAUACAAUUAAGAUGAACCAAUUAAAAAAUUUAUAAAAAUUAAAGGGUAGAAGAAUUAUGAAGAAUUUAGAUGUAAAUAGCCAAGAGGUUUCAAAUGUGGAAAGUGUUUCUUAUACAAUUGCAUGAUGACGUUUAGGCCAAUAAAAAACGGCUGAAAUGUAACGCUUACUUAUUUACAUAUAUGUGUACCCCAGCAUGCGUUAAUUUUGACAAACACAUUUUCCCCGUACGUUCUGUUAGUUAAAGAGUUUUGCAAAUGUAUUGUGUACCUAUUUUGUUUCAGAAUUUCUCUUGGUUUGAAAUACAAAUUUAAUCUAUAAUACCGACAGACAUCUAGGACAAUGUGAUGUUUUUUAAUUGAAUGAAUAAUUGAAUGUAAUGAAAAACCUUUGUUAGCGAGAUGGAGUUAAUAAUAUCAGCUAAUAAAUUAGAUGAAGAAUGUAAACAACGUUUCCUUCCUCUCUCUCUC
rnacentral:sRNA from 1 species